rnacentral:rRNA from 1 species
UACGUAGGGUGCGAGCGUUAAUCGGAAUUACUGGGCGUAAAGCGUGCGCAGGCGGUUGUGCAAGACAGGUGUGAAAUCCCCGGGCUUAACCUGGGAACUGCACUUGUGACUGCACGACUUGAGUGCGGCAGAGGGGAUGGAAUUCCGCGUGUAGCAGUGAAAUGCGUAGAUAUGCGGAGGAACACCGAUGGCGAAGGCAAUCCCCUGGGCCUGCACUGACGCUCAUGCACGAAAGCGUGGGGAGCAAACAGG